rnacentral:rRNA from 1 species
AUGGGGUGCACCAGGCGCGAAAACUUCACACUGUGCGAAAGCACGAUGAGGGAAUCCCAAGUGCUUGCACGUAAGUGUAAGCUGUUUCUUUGUUUAAAACGCAUUGGGAGUAAGAGCUGGGUAAGACGGGUGCCAGCCGCCGCGGUAGUACCUGCAGCUCAAGUGGUGGCCGCUAUUAUUGGGCCUAAAACGUCCGUAGCCGGUUUAAUAAAUGCCUGGGUAAAUCGUGUAGCUUAACUAUACGAAUUCCGGGUAGACUGUUAAGCUUGAGACCGGGAGAAGUUAGAGGUACUCCUGGGGUAGAGGUGAAAUUCUGUAAUCCUAGGGGGACCACCAGUGGCGAAGGCGUCUGACUAGAACGGGUCUGACGGUGAGGGACGAAGCCCUGGGGCGCAAACCGGAUUAGAUACCCGGGUAGUCCAGGGUGUAAACGCUGCUUGCUUGAUGUUGGUUGGGCUCCGAGCCCAAUCAGUGUCGGAGAGAAGUUGUUAAGUAAGCUGCCUGGGAAGUACGGCCGCAAGACUGAAACUUAAAGGAAUUGGCGGGGGAGCAC